UCUAAAUCAUCGACCUAUAACCCAUAACCCUUCUAAAGACACAAUGUGAUUUAUUCUCAUUUCUUUGCAUGUUAAAGUGAAAAAAUUCAACCAAGCACGAGUAAACGAUAUGGGUGACUAUGACUCUCUUAAGGUAUCCAAAUGCCUCAUCAUAUAAUUAGUGACACACAUGAAUGGAUCAUUGAUGUGAUUUCCCACUGUCCCUAGCUACUAUAUUCUAGAGAAACCACAUCCAAGGGAAUGGUCUUGGCAGAAUUAGCGGGGAAAGAAUACCCUGUUGAGCUUGACUCUAUUCCUAAUCCAUUCAUAGU
rnacentral:ncRNA from 1 species